rnacentral:rRNA from 1 species
GAUGAACGCUGGCGGCGUGCUUAACACAUGCAAGUCGAACGAAGCACUUUAUUUGAUUUCCUUCGGGACUGAUUAUUUUGUGACUGAGUGGCGGACGGGUGAGUAACGCGUGGGUAACCUGCCUUUUACAGGGGGAUAACAGUUGGACACGGCUGCUAAUACCGCAUAAGCUCACAGCAUCGCAUGAUGCAGUGUGAAAAACUCCGGUGGUAUACGAUGGACCCGCGUUGGAUUAGCUAGUUGGUGAGGUAACGGCCCACCAAGGCGACGAUCCAUAGCCGAACUGAGAGGGUGACCGGCCACAUUGAGACUGAGACACGGCCAAAAAUCCUACGGGAGGCAGCAGUGGGGAAUAUUGCAAAAUGGGCGAAAGGAUGAUGCAGCGACGACGCGUGAGCGAAGAAGUAUGUCGGUAUGUAAAGCUCUAUCAGCAGGGAAGAUAAUGACGGUACCUGACUAAGAAGCACCGGCUAAAUACGUG